UCCCUCCCUCCACCCUAAAAGGUAUUCCUCUUCCCUUCUCUUUCCAUUCUUUCCUUAAGAUCAUCAAGGCAUAACAGAACUACUUCCAAUCUCAUCUAAUUGGAUUGCUUCUAUGAACCCUGAUGAUGUUAGGGAUCAAAAGGGACAUGAAUCAUUUCCUCAUGUUUGAAUAGGUCAUCGUAACAUAAUUGACUCACAUUCAUGCCCUCUAUGUAGACUCCAACUGCUUUAAUAAUGAUACAAUUACUAGGAAUUACAUGUAUUGCCUUCCCAUAUAGAAAUGCACCUCACACGAAGGAAGAGAAAUGAUGGAGAACUUGGGGAAGUUGGGUAUGCUGAAUGGGUGUGCUCUCAUCUUGGCCUUGAGACCAUUAUGUCUGCAGUCUUAGUGACUACCCUGAUUUUAUCCUUCUCUAGUUGUCCCUGAUUCUUCUCCAGAAGUAUUUCAUCUUAAAUCUUGAGCUUCAUCUUGUGUGAGUUAAAACAUACUGUAAAUACUGUAAUAAAGGUCCACCAUUUUA